rnacentral:rRNA from 1 species
UACGUAGGUGACAAGCGUUAUCCGGAUUUGUUGGGCGUAAAGCGCACGCAGGCGGCUGAUUAAGUCUGACGUGAAAUCUCUCGGCUUAACCGGGAGCGUCGUUGGAACUAAUCGGCUUGAGGCGAUGAGAGGGGUGUGGAAUUCCCGGUGUAGUGGUGGAAUGCGUAGAUAUCGGGGGGAACAUCAGUGGCGAAAGCGGCACCCUGGCAUUUGCCUGACGCUCAUGUGCGAAAGCGUGGGAGCGAACGGG